ensembl:lncRNA MEG8 maternally expressed 8, small nucleolar RNA host gene
GGACCAAUGAUGACAAAUACCGGCGUAUGAGUCUUGGAUGAUGAAUAAUACGUGUCUGGAACUCUGAGGUCCAUCAGAAAAGAAAACCAGUUCUUUCUGCUCAUGUAUUUUCAUUCUGUUAUUAUAAUUGGAUCAAUAAAAGAAUGAAUCAACAAAUAUAUAACUAAAUAAAGAUGAUUCGUGUGAAGCAUUGUCCAAUUAUAAAAAUAGAUGGUGUGGCAAGAAGUAAUAUUAAUAUGUACUGGAAACUCUGAAGUCCAAAGAGAAAUAAAUGAAUGAACGCACUUGAGUUGAUUCAAGCACGCUUCCAUGGUCAUGAGCUCUGUGGUUGCAUCUGUGUGUUAGGAGCAUGCAGACCAAUAUGAAUCAGAAUGGAUGCAUCAAGUGGGCUUCUGCUUGAUGGAAACCUGUAUUGCUGUUGCGUUUGGAAAGAAACUAAUAGUGAUAAUCUCGAGGUGAUUUAUGCAUUCUUCCAUGGCCACCAGCCUUAUGAUUGCAUCUGUGCGUCACAGCUUAGAGAUCAAUAAUGGAUGCAACAAGCUCUUUGAAUCAUUCUGUUGGGAUCAAGAUUGUUGUGUUCCCUCUGUUUGGAAAGAGACCAAGAAUGGAUACGCUCAGGUGAUUUAAGCAGUCUUCCAUGGCCACGAGCUCUGUGGUUGCCUCUGUAUAUUAAGAGCACAGAGAUUAAAAAUGGGUGCACUUGAGCCGAUUGAAACAUUCCUCCUUGCAUCUUUCUUCUGUGAUUGCAUCUAUUUGUUAGUAGCAUAGAGACCAAUAUGGCUUGUGCUGAUGGAAGGAUUCCUCCCUGGUGACAUGCUGUGUCUGCCUCUUGAUUGGGAGCACGCAGACCUACAAUGAUGCACUUUUUAUGAUUUGAGAAUUCCUUCAUGGUCACGUGCUCUGUUUUUAUCAUGGUUGGGAGCCUGCAGAGCAAUAAGGGACAUGCCUUUGCUGAUUUGAGGAUUCCUCUGAGGUUGGGAGCUAAGUUUGCAUCAUGCUUAGAAAGGAGUGUGCAGACCUGUAAUGAUUGCACUUUGCUGAUUGAAGGAUUCCUUCAAGUCCAUGUGCUCCACUUGCACCAUUUUUAGGAUGGAGCCUGGAGACCUAUAAUGAACAACUUGUGCUGUGUUAAGGAUUCCUCCAUGAUCACGCGCCCCAUUUGUACACCAUGCUUGGGAAGGUGCAUGCAGACCAAUGUUAGUAAUAGUCAAAAUUCCUGUGUCGGUUUGUGUGGUUUGCUAAACAGGACUCAAUGUAUCAUGAAACAGUGUAUUAUAUAGUCAACUAUGGUCAACUAUGUCCCAGUGAUAUUUAUGAGAGGGAUCUGAAGUAUUUAUUGAUAAUGCAUAUAUGAAAAACGGAGAAGAAUUAAUGAAACAGAUAUAUCUGUGUUAGAAUGAUUCUGUAUAAAGAUAGGGAAUAUCAAGUCUGUUCUUAGUGUUUUGUGAAUCACAGAGUGUAAAAUUAUUCCCAGUGAAUUAAUGAAUAAAUUUAAAGACAACAUAGAAAUGAAUGCAGAAAAAGAGGGUCAACCCUGGAUCGAUGAUGAGCACUGGUGGAGUAUGAGUCACAUACGAUGAAUACGUGUCUGGAACUCUGAGGUCCAUCGCAGAAGUCAGUUUCCUCUGUUUCAACUAACUCUGUAGAUAGAUGACAAGAAUAGAGAAUGAAUUUUUUUUGUUUAUGAGUUUUUAUUUUAUAAUUGGUUCAAUGAAAGAAUAAAACAUAUAUGAAUAAAUAAAUAAGUUAUGCAUUGUCCAAUUAUAAAAAUGUGUGAUGAGGUGUAUUUAAUACGUAUUUAAAUUGAUGAAAGCCAAAAAUAAAUCUAACAUACCUAACCUUUUUGGCCAAUAAUGAAGAGAUAGUAUAAAUUAUAUGCUAUUUUCGUGUUCUUGGUUAGUGGCAAGUUCAAAGUUGUUCAUACUUCAAAUAACGAUUGCCUAAAUGUUUAACUACAGAUAGGUAAAAAGGAAAGAUCAACAAUGAGAAAAAUCACAUUUUUGUUAUUAUUUUCUCUGCUCUGCACUCAUCAGAAUGGACGUACUUGUGAUGAUUUAAAGAUGCCUCCAAGGUCACGUGCUCUGUUUGCACCAUGCUUAGGAAGGAGCGUACAGACCAAAAAUGGAUGAAUUGUGCACCUUGAAAAGUUCUUCCAUGGUCACCUGAGGCAUCUGCGUCAUGAUUAGGCUCCGGAUGACUAAUAAUGGACGUACUUGUUCUGAUUUGAGGACUUCUUCAUGGUCACAUGUUCUGUUUGCACCAUGCUUAGGAAGGAGCAUGUGUACCAAUGUGAGUGACAGUCAGAUUUCUUGCAUUUCUUUGGGUGGUUUAUUUAAGAGGACUCAAUGUACUGUGAAUAAACAUGUAAUAUAAUCAAAGAUGGUGAAUUUUAUCUAGUGAGGGAUAUUGGAGUCAAAAGAAGUAUUAUAUUGAUAAUUCACAUAUGAAAAACAGGAUAACUCAUGAAACAUUAAUAUAGGAAUUAUUUGGGAUAUCUUUUUGGGUUUUGUGAGUCAUAAGGUUUAAAGUUAUUAUUAGUAAAUUAAUGAAUUAAUCAACAGACAAUGUAGAAAAUAACAGAGAAAAGAAGGGCCAAUCCUGGAUCGAUGAUGACUACUGGUAGCAUGAGUCAUAUACAGUGAAUACAUGUCUGGAACUCUGAGGUCUGUCUCAAAAGAUAUCUAGUCUAUUUCCUGUUUCAAAUGAUCCUACAGACAGAUGGCAAAAAAUAGAAUGUAUAUGUGUUUGGUUUUCAUGUUUAUGAAUUUUUAUUUUACAUUUAUGAUUGGCUCAAUCAGAGAAUCAGUUAAUAAAUAUACAAAUAAAGAUGAAUAAGGGCCGGGCAUGGUGGCUCACACCUGUAAUCUCAGCACUUUGGGAGGCCAACACGGGUAGAUCACUUGAUGACAGGAGAUCGAGACCUACCUGGCCAACGUGGCGAAACCCUAUCUCUACUAAAAAUACAAAAAUUAGCCAGGCAUGGCGGCAUGUGCCUCUAAUCCGAGGACUUGGGUGGCUGAGGCACAUGGAUUGCUUGAACCCGGGUUUCAAAAAUUGCUUGAACCUGGGAGGCUGCAGUGAUCCGAGAUCACGUCACUGCAGCUUGGCAACAGAGCAAGAUUCUGUGUCAAAAAGAAAAAAAUAAAAA